rnacentral:rRNA from 1 species
UACGGAGGGGGCAAGCGUUAUCCGGAUUCACUGGGUUUAAAGGGUGCGUAGGUGGGCUGGUAAGUCCGUGGUGAAAUCUCCAAGCUUAACUUGGAAACUGCCGUGGAUACUAUUAGUCUUGAAUCUCGUGGAGGUAAGCGGAAUAUGUCAUGUAGCGGUGAAAUGCUUAGAUAUGACAUAGAACACCGAUAGCGAAGGCAGCUUGCUACACGAGUAUUGACACUGAGGCACGAAAGCGUGGGGAUCAAACAGG